UGACUCUGGUUUCUCUUCAUAAUGCACAAGUCUUUCACCUUUUACUAAAGACUUCUGAGGAGAGGAACAGCAAUGAGUUCAAGCUAUGUUUGGUAGGCUUUGCCUAACAGCGGAGCC
ensembl:snRNA U5 U5 spliceosomal RNA